GACGAACGCUGGCGGCGUGCUUAACACAUGCAAGUCGAACGGUGAAGCGCCUUCCUUUUUGGUGGGUGUGGAUGAGUGGCGAACGGGUGAGUAACACGUGAGUAACCUGCCCCCUUCUUCUGGAUAACCGCAUGAAAGUGUGGCUAAUACGGGCUAUUCUGGGUCUGUCGCAUGAUGGGUCUGGGAAAGAUAUUGUUUCGGUGGGGGAUGGGCUCGCGGCCUAUCAGCUUGUUGGUGGGGUGAUGGCCUACCAAGGCGGUGACGGGUAGCCGGCCUGAGAGGGUGGACGGUCACACUGGGACUGAGACACGGCCCAGACUCAUACGGGAGGCAGCAGUGGGGAAUAUUGCACAAUGGGCGCAAGCCUGAUGCAGCGACGCCGCGUGAGGGAUGGAGGCCUUCGGGUUGUGAACCUCUUUCGCCAGUGAAGCAGGCCUGCCUCGUUUGUGGGUGGGUUGACGGUAGCUGGAUAAGAAGCGCCGGCUAACUACGUG
rnacentral:rRNA from 1 species